CACGUAGGCACCAAGCGUUGUCCGGAUUUAUUGGGCGUAAAGAGCUCGUAGGCGGUUCGGUAAGUCGGGGGUGAAAACUUUGGGCUCAACCCAAAGCCUGCACUCGAUACUGCUGUGACUUGAGUCCGGUAGGGGAGUGGGGAAUUCCUGGUGUAGCGGUGGAAUGCGCAGAUAUCAGGAGGAACACCGGUGGCGAAGGCGGGUCUCUGGGCCGAUAUCGACGCUGAGGAGCGAAAGCGUGGGGAGCGAACAGG
rnacentral:rRNA from 1 species